rnacentral:rRNA from 1 species
GAUGAACGCUGGCGGCGUGCCUAAUACAUGCAAGUCGAGCGAACAGACGAGGAGCUUGCUCCUUUGACGUUAGCGGCGGACGGGUGAGUAACACGUGGAUAACCUACCUAUAAGACUGGGAUAACUUCGGGAAACCGGAGCUAAUACCGGAUAACAUGUUGAACCGCAUGGUUCAACAGUGAAAGACGGUCUUGCUGUCACUUAUAGAUGGAUCCGCGCCGCAUUAGCUAGUUGGUAAGGUAACGGCUUACCAAGGCAAUGAUGCGUAGCCGACCUGAGAGGGUGAUCGGCCACACUGGAACUGAGACACGGUCCAGACUCCUACGGGAGGCAGCAGUAGGGAAUCUUCCGCAAUGGGCGAAAGCCUGACGGAGCAACGCCGCGUGAGUGAAGAAGGUCUUCGGAUCGUAAAACUCUGUUAUUAGGGAAGAACAAAUGUGUAAGUAACUAUGCACGUCUUGACGGUACCUAAUCAGAAAGCCACGGCUAACUACGUGCCAGCAGCCGCGGUAAUACGUAGGUGGCAAGCGUUAUCCGGAAUUAUUGGGCGUAAAGCGCGCGUAGGCGGUUUUUUAAGUCUGAUGUGAAAGCCCACGGCUCAACCGUGGAGGGUCAUUGGAAACUGGAAAACUUGAGUGCAGAAGAGGAAAGUGGAAUCCCAUGUGUAGCGGUGAAAUGCGCAGAGAUAUGGAGGAACACCAGUGGCGAAGGCGACUUUCUGGUCUGUAACUGACGCUGAUGUGCGAAAGCGUGGGGAUCAAACAGGAUUAGAUACCCUGGUAGUCCACGCCGUAAACGAUGAGUGCUAAGUGUUAGGGGGUUUCCGCCCCUUAGUGCUGCAGCUAACGCAUUAAGCACUCCGCCUGGGGAGUACGACCGCAAGGUUGAAACUCAAAGGAAUUGACGGGGACCCGCACAAGCGGUGGAGCAUGUGGUUUAAUUCGAAGCAACGCGAAGAACCUUACCAAAUCUUGACAUCCUCUGACCCCUCUAGAGAUAGAGUUUUCCCCUUCGGGGGACAGAGUGACAGGUGGUGCAUGGUUGUCGUCAGCUCGUGUCGUGAGAUGUUGGGUUAAGUCCCGCAACGAGCGCAACCCUUAAGCUUAGUUGCCAUCAUUAAGUUGGGCACUCUAAGUUGACUGCCGGUGACAAACCGGAGGAAGGUGGGGAUGACGUCAAAUCAUCAUGCCCCUUAUGAUUUGGGCUACACACGUGCUACAAUGGACAAUACAAAGGGUAGCGAAACCGCGAGGUCAAGCAAAUCCCAUAAAGUUGUUCUCAGUUCGGAUUGUAGUCUGCAACUCGACUACAUGAAGCUGGAAUCGCUAGUAAUCGUAGAUCAGCAUGUUACGGUGAAUACGUUCCCGGGUCUUGUACACACCGCCCGUCACACCACGAGAGUUUGUAACACCCGAAGCCGGUGGAGUAACCUUUUGGAGCUAGCCGUCGAAGGUGGGACAAAUGAUUGGGGUGAAGUCGUAACAAGGUAGCCGUAUCGGAAGG